rnacentral:rRNA from 1 species
AAGGGCUUCCGCACAGGUGUGGCAUGGCUGUNGGCAGCUCGUCGAGAUGUUGGGGUUAAGUCCCGCAACGAAGCGCAACCCUCGCCUUUAGUUGCCAUCAUUUAGUUGGGCACUCUGGAGGAACUGCCGGUGACAAGCCGGAGGAAGGUGGGGAUGACGUCAAGUCCUCAUGGCCCUUAUGUCCUGGGCUACACACGUGCUACAAUGGUGGUGCAGUGGGAAGCUAGGCGGUGACGCCGUGCUGAUCUCUAAAAGCCAUCUCAGUUCGGAUUGUACUCUGCAACUCGAGUACAUGAAGGUGGAAUCGCUAGUAAUCGUGGAUCAGCAUGCCACGGUGAAUACGUUCCCGGGCCUUGUACACACCGCCC